rnacentral:rRNA from 1 species
UACGUAGGGCGCGAGCGUUGUCCGGAUUUAUUGGGCGUAAAGCGCUCGUAGGCGGCUUGUCGCGUCGUCCGUGAAAACCUGCAGCUCAACUGCAGGCUUGCGGUCGAUACGGGCAGGCUGGAGUUCGGUAGGGGAGACUGGAAUUCCUGGUGUAGCGGUGAAAUGCGCAGAUAUCAGGAGGAACACCGGUGGCGAAGGCGGGCCUCUGGGCCGAUACUGACGCUGAGGAGCGAAAGCGUGGGGAGCGAACAGG